GCGUGGGUAACCUGCCCUAUAGAGGGGGAUAACUCUAGGAAACUUUAGCUAAUACCGCAUAAAAUCUAAUAACACAUGUUAUAAGAUUGAAAGUGCCAACUGGUACACUAUAGGGUGGACCCGCGUUGUAUUAGCUAGUUGGUGAGGUAAAGGCUCACCAAGGCGAUGAUACAUAGCCGACCUGAGAGGGUGAUCGGCCACACUGGGACUGAGACACGGCCCAGACUCCUACGGGAGGCAGCAGUAGGGAAUCUUCGGCAAUGGACGAAAGUCUGACCGAGCAACGCCGCGUGAGUGAAGAAGGUUUUCGGAUCGUAAAACUCUGUUGUAAGAGAAGAACACCAGUAAGAGUGGAAAGCUUACUGGCUGACGGUAUCUUACCAGAAAGCCACGGCUAACUACGUGCCAGCAGCCGCGGUAAUACGUAGGUGGCAAGCGUUGUCCGGAUUUAUUGGGCGUAAAGCGAGCGCAGGCGGUUCAUUAAGUCUGAUGUAAAAGGCAGUGGCUCAACCAUUGUAAGCAUUGAAAACUGGUGAACUUGAGUGCAGUAGAGGAGAGUGGAAUUCCAUGUGUAGCGGUGAAAUGCGUAGAUAUAUGGAGGAACACCGGAGGCGAAAGCGGCUCUCUGGACUGUAACUGACGCUGAGGCUUCAAAGCGUGGGGAGCAAACAGGAUUAGAUACCCU
rnacentral:rRNA from 1 species